rnacentral:tRNA from 1 species
UCCGUGGAGGAGUAGUGGUUAGACCAUGGCACUCUCACCACCGUGGCCCAGGUUCAAUUCCUGGCCAGGGAA